CCAUACGACGUCAAAUCUAUGAGUUGUAUACUAGUAGAUGUUAUUUGUGUGAAAAAUCACUAGAAGAAGGGAGAGCACGUUAUGGCUGUACGGAUUAUAUAGUCCUACAGGCUGCAAGAAGGAAACAAUGCUGAUCAUAAUGUGUUGACAUUUGUUCGUUGAUGUGAUUGUUGGACAUACGGAGUGGACUGGAAAUACAAACAAUGCUAGUUUGGUAAAUGUACAUGUACAUCGUAGACUAGAAAGUGGGAAAAGACUGACGUUAUCUUAUCUGAAUUUAACCCGUUUAUCAAGAAUCCUGAACUGCCCGUACCAUUUGUCCUACAGAUAAUGGCGUUGGCAAUGAAAUCCAGGCUGGUCGCAUUGAUUUAGGACUAUGAUAAGUUAAAGGUUUUAUCAAGGAUGGUUUUUAACCAACUGCGGCAUACAACAUCUGUUUAUGCAAGAAAUACAAUAAAGCCAAGACAAAAUUUGUUUUAAUGCAAGACUGAUACUGCUACACCAAGAAUUAUAUCAGAUUUCUACAAUAUGAUACAAUACUUAAAAUCUUGUAUAUAAGAACACUUAUUGACCCCCCCCCCCCCCCACACACACACACACACACACCUUUGGUUAAAAUAGGUACAGUUUUGAUAAAUUGUAAUGAAAUGAGACAUUGGGUGUGGAACAUCUUUUUCUUGUACAGAUACCAUUUUCUUACCAGUAAUCAUAAACAAACUGUUAAAGUUUAAGAAGAAAAACAACAAUCAGUGGAGAAUCAAAUUUAUCAAUCAACAAAAUAAUAAAUCAUGUGACAGAUCAAGAAAAAGAGGAUUUAACUGUGUACAUAUACAAUUCUACAUGUAUACCAAAUACAUGGUUUAUGACCUAGCUAGAGUACUACUAAUCAGCUGAUCAAUUAAUGGUACAUUUACUUCAAAUUUAAAUUAUUAUAAACAUCAAGUGGUUUCCACUUGAAGUCUAUUUAACAUAUGGAUGUGGACCAAGGCCUAUAUAAACAAAUAUUUGUUAGUGCAACAUACAGUUCAAAAGACAAAUAAAACACUUAUUAUUCACUUUGACAUAUUCGAUCAUUUGCACUGUGUUUGUGUACUGUUCGCAGUAGGCUUAAUUGUUGCAGAUCCACUCGGAAUGGAUUUGGGUUUUAAGUAUAAUUAAAUAUACUGUUUAAUCAUAAGAAUAAAUAAACCAAUAAAAAGGUUUGCAGAA